GAUGAAGAACGUAGCGAAAUGCGAUAAGUAGUGUGAAUUGCAGAAUUCAGUGAAUCAUCGAAUCUUUGAACGCACAUUGUGCCCUUUGGUAUUCCAAAGGGCAUGCCUGUUCGAGCGUCAUUUGUACCCUCAAGCUUUGCUUGGUGUUGGGCGUCUUGUCUCUAGCUUUGCUGGAGACUCGCCUUAAAGUAAUUGGCAGCCGGCCUACUGGUUUCGGAGCGCAGCACAAGUCGCACUCUCUAUCAGCAAAGGUCUAGCAUCCAUUAAGCCUUUUUUUCAACUUUUGACCUCGGAUCAGGUAGGGAUACCCGCUGAACUUAAGCAUAUCAAUAACGGAGGA
rnacentral:misc_RNA from 1 species